rnacentral:lncRNA from 1 species
GUUUUCUCAGCAAAAAAGCAUGGGCAGUCCCUUCAGCCUGUGAGAGCCAGAGUCCUGCAGGGAAGAGUAAUGUGGGCUAGACUUGAAGAACACAUAAGGACUCGUGCUUCUAGAAGCUCAGUGAUUAGAGGUAGAAAACAACUGUCUUCAAAGAUAAUCAACAUAUAGGAUCCUUGACAUCUAGAGCAACUAACUCUUAUCUCCCUUUUUCAUGUGUGUGUGUGUGUGUGUGUCUGUGUGUGUGUGUAUGUGUAUGUCUGUGGUUAUGUCUGUGUAGGUCUCUCUUUCUCUCUCUUCUCUCUCUCUCUCUCUCUCUCUCUCUCUCUCUCUCUCUCUGUGUGUGUGUGUGUGUGUGUGUGUGUGUGUGUAUGUGUGUGUGUGUGUAUGUGGUUAUGUUUGUGUAGGUGUGUGUGUAUUUCAUAGGAAGGAGUCUUUAUUCUAGACGUAUGUAUCCAUUGAAAAUUGAGUAGUCUCCUGGACAGGCACUUUUGGGUGGGUUGUCAGGAACGAGGAGCGAUUGCUUCUAAGCCCGGAGUUCUUCCCUUGUGGAGUUAGCAACCGAUUCUUACUUUUCCUGCAAGCUCUUUUGUAUGGAAGUAGAUCCACAUCACCUUUACAGUUAGGAGUUGUGGAGGUGAUGAGCAGAUCUCAUCCCCACUGUUUGGUCGGAACCCUUGCUUAUCUCCUGUACAAACUAAGACACCCUGUUUGCUCUUCUUCACCCA